CUUCCUUCCUUUCCCAUCUUCCUUUCCCAUCUCCUUCCUUCCUUCCUUCCCCAUCUUCCUUCCUUCCUUCCCCACGUGGAAAAAGAGCUGUAAAGUAGAUAUUGAAUCGGCACGAUGAUUUUCACUCGAUUAAAGCAAAAAGCUUGAUUGCAUCUUGGGGGUGGAGAGCGAGGGGGGGGGAAAUCCAAUGACCCUCAAAAAUUAUUCACAGUCGUCUCUUUUUUUCCUUGAAAAUGUCAGGGGGGGGGGGGAAGCCGUGAUAUUGGAAUUGUGGUGAGCAGCUGAACCGACAGUGGAAUACGAGACCCUCGGGGGGUUCUUUGUUUUUUGUCACUCUCGAUCUUGAUGGAAGAUGAGAAGGAUCUUUAAAACUCCGCGUUUCUCCAUUUGGGCCGCUUUGAAGAUGGGGGGGGGAGAGGACUUCAACUCCCAGAAUUCCCCAGCGGGGAAUUCUGGGGAGUUGAAGUCCUCUCCCCCCCCCCCAUCUUCAAAGCGGCCCAAAUGGAGGAAAACUGAAUUUUGACCUCCUGUCCCUCUCCUGGCGCCCUCCUGAAUUCGCCACCCCCAUCCCCAUCCUCCCCAGCCGGCAGGGAGGAGUGCACGAUGGGCUUGGUCUGCCUUAAAUGUGCUGCUAAUUGGUUGACCUGUGCAAUGAUCUCUAGAUUUUGAGUGCCAAGCUAUCUAUCAUGGUAGGACUACCACUUUUGAGCAAAAAUAAACCAUUCUCCUCCUCCCCUCCCCUCCGAGAUUGUACAUAUAUAGAGAUAGAUAGAUAUAUUAAUACGCUAGUGUUCUAAUUUCCCUUCACGAAGGCAAACCUUUUCUCUCCCCCCCCCCCCCGAAACAAUAAAGUGUGAUAUUUUGAGAUUUUUGACCGCUCAUAAAUUAUUAUUUUUUUUUAAACCCCCUACCUCCGCCCAAGCAGAAACCACAAUUCUGGUUUUAAUUAAGGAGCGAAAACUAACCCACAUUUCCGAUAGAAAGAUGACUCGCCAUUGUCUGCCCCCCUGCCACCUCCCGAAAUUAGCCCUGCCAACUCUCUUGAUUCGCGAAGGUCCUUUUGGGGCAUCUCCUCUCUUGAACAUUCAUGGCUGGGAUGAAGGUUGAAGGUGGUCCUCCUUUCUGAAAUUUAGUUCUUGGAGGUAGAUAUCCCACGCGGAUGCAGGGACGCACGCACCCCGUGGCAAACCUUUCCGACGUCCCUUGGCGUAGCGUUGAGUUGACCCAGCGAUUAGGGUUGGCCAAAGGUUGGUGAGAGGGAGCUUAAAGGAGACACUUGGUGAGGAAACAUCUCAGCAGCUUUGACUUAGAACGGAGAAGGUUUCAGCUCAGUCUCCUUCCCAUCCUUGAUCUUGAGACAAGUUGGCACCUUCUCCAUUUCCUUUCUCCGGGUGGUUUAAUCGCCAACAUUGUCUUCAUUUCACGACACCGUCAUCCAAACCGCCAACCGUCGGCGGAGCUGACAUCCCUCUUCAGACGGCCUUGUUGAGAUGACGAUCCAUAGUUGACCGUGACUGAACGAAUUCCUCGGAAUGUCUUGCUUUCCGUCUGGGACGCUUCCCGCAUCCUUUUCGAAUUGCAAACUAGACCUGUCUUCAGGGGGACCGGGGACUAUUUUCUGGAGGCCACCAAACUUUUAUCCAUCUCUUCACCACCUUCCCCGAUUCAUCUGUCGAGCAACCUUCUCAAGCCGCUCUUGACUUUAGCAAGUUAAAAAUAAUGCGACGCCACAAGUCACACUGACUAGAUGAGCCUUUGAUUCAAGUUGGAGAUUUUGUAUUUUGUGGUUCGGAGGAGAGAUGGGUCUUCCUGAGAACUUCAGUGAAGGUCUCCUGGAUGUUUUGAGAACUUCAGUGAGGUUCUCCUGGAUGGUUUGAGAACUUCAGUGAGUUCUCCUGGAUGGUUUGAGAACUUCAGUGAGGUUCUCCUGGAUUGUUUGAGAACUUCAGUGGGUCCUCCUGGAUGGUUUGAGAACUUCAGAGAAGUUCUCCUGGAUGGUUUGAGAACAUCAGUGAAGGUCUCCUGGAUGCUUUGAGAACUUCAAUGAAGUUCUGGAUGGUUUGAGAACUUCAGAGAAGUUCUCCUGGAUGAUUGUUUGGUUGGUUGAUUGGUGUCUUUCGCAGUGAAGAGGAGAUUUGGACGAGACAAAUGGAAAAUAUUUCAGCUUUGGGUGUCCUUCAGCUCAGAUUUGGGAACGAGGGGUGGUUGCCGCAUCGUGUGCCAUUCCAGUUUGGGAUCUGGGGCGUCGCCUUCUUGCGUGUGUGGGGGUGGGGGGGAACGGAUGCCCCCUUAAAAAUUGCCAGGUGUUUGUUUUUUUUUUAAGUUUUUGCUUAAUUUCCCGGAGUGUAUUUGGUACAUUGUGUGAAUACUUGAAGAGGUCAAAUGGGAUGCCUGGGCCCUUCCCCUUGGCUGCCCAACUCUCCUCUGCCCUCUUCCCCUUCUUGGCAUUGCGAUGAUGCGGCUGGCGGCGGCGUUGAGGGUGGUGGGUGGGCAGAAACACACACACACCCCCGUGGCGAAUGCCUCUUCUAAGGAUUAUAACCUCUCAGAAUAGUUGUGUAUAAUUAAAGAAACUGUAAACUUUUUAAAAAAUAAAAUAUGUAUAUACCUUG